rnacentral:misc_RNA from 1 species
UCGCUCGCCCGACAGCAGGUCGAAAACUCACAAAAAGAACUUCAGGAUCAGAAAUUCAGACUCGACACCGCCAUCAACAACAUGGGCGAGGGCCUGUGCAUGUUCGAUGGGGAAAAGCGGCUUGUCGUCUGCAACGAUCGUUAUGCCGAAAUGUAUCGGCUGCCGCCGGAACUCCUGAGGACGGGAACGCCGCACCGCGACAUCAUCAAACAUCGCAUCACGAGCGGCAUCCUCAAGGGUGAAACCAGCGAGAGC